rnacentral:lncRNA from 1 species
AUUACAGAUUCCACAUUGCAGCUAAUCUUCAUUAAACUACCACGUGGUGAAUUUUAAUGUAGUAUCCAAGAAGCAUACUGACACCUUCUCCAUUGUCCUACUAUGUAUCUGUGUAAGGCCAGAUUUUCUUCAUAUACAUUAACCAAAGCAACAUAUGGCAACAGACUGAAUGAAGAGGCAGGUUUCCUGGGACUCUGUUGCAUCAAAUUCUACUGCUAGGCAUCAAUUUUAAAGUAUUUCAUCAGUUGGACCUACCAAAUAUCAAGUCAGGAUUUGGCCAUCUCUGCUCUUGCCAUUCCACCUCUCACGACUCUAUCCUCAAAGAAAAGAAAACAGUCUUUCAUCAAUUAUGGUUAAGGAUCCCCAAACUGAAACACAUGUGGCUAAACGCCAUUCAUAUCACCAGCCCACACCAGUCUGGUGGUGGGGGAGAGAAGGAAAAAGAGGAGAUAAAUGGCCUACAUGAUUGAUUUCAACUAAGACCCAAAUCUUGGAGAACAAUUAUUGGAUUUACCACUGUUUGUUUUUGCAACAUUUCGGAAAUCGGC